rnacentral:rRNA from 1 species
ACUCAAAUGAAUUGACGGGGGCCCGCACAAGCAGCGGAGCGUGUGGUUUAAUUCGACGCGACGCGCAGCACCUUACCGGGGCUUGACAUGCGCCUGCAAACUCUGGAAACAGAGCUUCCUGCGAGGGUGGCGCACAGAUGCUGCAUGGCUGUCGUCAGCUCGUGCCGUGAGGUGUUGGGUUAAGUCCCGCAACGAGCGCAACCCCCGCCGCCAGUUGCACUUCUCUGGCGGGACUGCCGGCCGCAAGCCGGAGGAGGGUGGGGAUGACGUCAAGUCAGCAUGGCUCUUACGCCCCGGGCGACACACACGCUACAAUGGCGACGACAGGGGGCGCUGCCAACCCGCGAGGGGGAGCCAAUCCCGCAAACGUCGCCCCAGUUCGGAUCGCGGGCUGCAACCCGCCCGCGUGAAGCCGGAGUUGCUAGUAACCGCGGGUCAGCACUACCGCGGUGAAUAUGUUCCCGGGCCUUGCACACACCGCCCGU